UGGUUGUUAUAAUGAUGAUGUUUUCAUGGUGUUGGGAGUAAGACUUGGAUGUCUAAUAUUGUUAACAUGUUGGUUAGCAUCAGGUUUCCAUUGGGUUACUUGCUGGGAUAAAGCUGUUAUAAGUCGAAAGAGUUGCUGUUGCUGCCUUCCUUGUAUGGUAAAAUCCUCAGACUACAAUCCUGCAAACCAUUGGAUGAACUGUUGCUAUCUUUUGUAAAAAAAAUCAGCAGAUAUUUGUCUUAUAAGCAGAAUGAAUUAUAAAUGCAAUUAAUUUUUAAUGCUUUAUUAUUCAAAUUAUAAAUAUUUAUUUCAUAAUUUUUUCUUGCAUUCAAUUAUUGUUUUGUGAUUGAAGAAAUAUAAAAAAAAAACUGUGAAAUUAUUGUUAUUUGAGAGGUCCCAAAGGUAUGAUGUAUGGUUUCACAAGAUACCCAUAAGACUUGCUUCAGUUUAAAUAUAUUUUUUUAAGUUAUGUACACUGGUUAAGAAUUAUAAGUCCUCUGUGAAAUGAUUUUUUCUGGUUAGAAACCUAUUAAGUAGGACUUUGAUGGCCAAACACUAAAAGGGAAUAAAACAAAUCCCCUAUU